rnacentral:rRNA from 1 species
GAGUUUGAUCGUGGCUCAGGACGAACGCUGGCGGUGUGCUUCACACAUGCAAGUCGAACGGGGUAGCAAUACCCAGUGGCGGACGGGUGAGUAACACGUGGGAAUCUACCAUAAGGUGGGGAAUAACAGGCCGAAAGGUCUGCUAAUGCCGCAUAUGUAGGCAUCUCGACAGAGGUGUUUAUGAAAGGAGUAAUCCGCCUUUUGAUGAGCCCGCGUCCGAUUAGCUAGUUGGUAGGGUAAAAGCCUACCAAGGCGACGAUCGGUAGGUGGUCUGAGAGGACGACCAGCCACACUGGGACUGAGACACGGCCCAGACUCCUACGGGAGGCAGCAGUGGGGAAUUUUGGACAAUGGGCGCAAGCCUGAUCCAGCCAUGCCGCGUGCGGGAAGAAGGCC